rnacentral:rRNA from 1 species
UACGUAGGGUGCGAGCGUUGUCCGGAAUUACUGGGCGUAAAGAGCUCGUAGGCGGUCUGUCGCGUCGGAUGUGAAAAUCCAGGCUCAACCCUGGACCUGCAUUCGAUACGGGCAGACUAGAGUGUGGUAGGGGAGACUGGAAUUCCUGGUGUAGCGGUGGAAUGCGCAGAUAUCAGGAGGAACACCGAUGGCGAAGGCAGGUCUCUGGGCAUCUCCUGACGCUGAGGCGCGAAAGCGUGGGGGAGCAAACGGGG